rnacentral:rRNA from 1 species
UACGUAGGGUGCGAGCGUUGUCCGGAAUUAUUGGGCGUAAAGAGCUCGUAGGCGGUUUGUCGCGUCUGCUGUGAAAACUCGGGGCUUAACCCCGGGCCUGCAGUGGGUACGGGCAGACUAGAGUGCGGUAGGGGAGACUGGAAUUCCUGGUGUAGCGGUGAAAUGCGCAGAUAUCAGGAGGAACACCGAUGGCGAAGGCAGAUCUCUGGGCCGUAACUGACGCUGAGGAGCGAAAGCGUGGGGAGCGAACAGG